UUUCCAAGAUGAGUAGUUCAGUGCCAUGGAGUAUCCGGGAGCAACUAGAGCACAAAAUCACAAGGUAGAGCAUGUAACUUCAUCCCUCACACUCACCAGGCCAGUAAUCCCUGCUCUGCUGCUUUCCAGAAUGUGCAGCCUCCUCAUCUGCAGAAGUCCAAAGAGAGCCAAAUCCUAACCACUAGAAUACCAGGGAGCUAUGGGAGACAUCACCCAACUAUGUUUAGUGGAAUAUCUGGAAUUUAUAGUAUGUAAUGAGUGUGGUGCAGGUUCAACUCACUGGAAACUUUAUCAGUUACACCUUGCUAGUAGUGGGCUAGACCGCUAAAUAUGGUUAGACUGUGGUCUUAAAGGGAUGGACAUGGUCAGCACCAGUACUGACUUAGAUUGUUGUGUUUAAGCCAAUAAAAAUGCCUCCCACACCGCUACACCAUUAGCAGCCACCUGAACUGUUGAUGAAAGGUCCUCAGGUUCCCGAGACUGUUUAUAAACCUGUGCAGUGAACAUAACACUGAUCUCUAUAGUUAAGGAAAAAGUCUAGACACUGGGAUUUGCAUUGCAAAUUUCCACCACAGGAUCCACUGGCACACCUGUCAAGGACACCCACCAUCAGCUUAAACUGAUUAAAAUUGUAUUCUCUCUCCACUCAUUUGUUCUGCCAGUGGUGGGCAUCUCACAGCACUGCUUUUGCCACUCUCUGCAGUGUAACAGCCAGAUGUCAGUUUAACUCAAAUGUAGUGAAAAAAAAUCAAAUUUGUUGACAUAAUUUCUGGAAGGCACACUCCACCCGAUUUCACCACUUGCAGAUAUAAUGAACAUUUUAGUGCACAUGCAUAAAAUAGGUUCUUCCAGCCAUACAGAUCUGAAUAUUCUCCAGGAUGGAGUGUUAAUAAUCUAUUACAGACUGAGAAGUGUUUCAAGAAUUUCAAGGUGAACAGGUGGCCACUUCACAUUCACAUUUAUAGACUAAGGUUUGAAAUAGUUUAAAGAAAGGCAUAUUUGUAGCUCACCCUCAACACUGCAUGGAGAAUGUAGCAGGAAGCAAAGUAAAAAAAAAAAAAAAAAAUCUCUGAGCUGCCAGAAAAGCUGUAACGAAAAUUCACUGAAGUGCCCAAAGUCAAUUACUGCAGUGAGACAUUCAAAACAACAGUCUAACGGUGCAACAGUUAAUCAAAUGUCAAACUAACAUCUGGCAAACAGAAAUUUAGCACCAUGAAAUGACUGAUUAGCUCUGGGAACGCAUUUCUAUAUACCUAGCACUGCUGUCAGUGUGUUUAUGCACAGAGGGAGGUAUAAUUAAUAGGAGCUAUAUUGGUAUUAUGGUUUUUAAAAUAGCAACAGUUGUGCACCACUAAUGUGCACCUGUAUAGCAGAAUGGAGACCAGCUCUCAUAAGAUCAAGGCUGAACUUAUUAUGAAACACAAACACAAAUGAACUUACUAUUAAAGAGGUUAGAUGAUACUAUUCCUUACAAUGAAAAUACAAUGCAAAUUUUUACACUGGCAAGACAAUAAGUACCUUGACAUUUUGUAAGCUGAAGAUAUGAAUAGCCAGAAUAGAAAGCAAUCAGCUAGUUAGCGUUUAUGGAUCAAAUGAAAAAAAGAGAACUAGCUAGGCUGGCUCCACUAAUGAAAUUAGAAACAUAAAAAUGUUAAUCUGAA